GACGAACCGAGCGAACGUUGUUCGGAAUCACUGGGCUUAAAGGGCGCGUAGGCGGGUGCUCAAGUCCGUGGGGAAAUCCUCCGGCUCAACCGGAGAACUGCCUCGGAUACUGGGUGCCUCGAGGGUGGUAGGGGUAUGCGGAACUAUCGGUGGAGCGGUGAAAUGCGUAGAGAUCGGCAGGAACACCCAGGGGGAAACCAGUCGACUGGGCAUCAGCUGACGCUGAGGUGCGAGAGCGUGGGGAGCGAACCGG
rnacentral:rRNA from 1 species